rnacentral:rRNA from 1 species
GACGAACGCUGGCGGCGUGCCUAAUACAUGCAAGUUGAGCGCUGAAGGUUGGUACUUGUACCAACUGGAUGAGCAGCGAACGGGUGAGUAACGCGUGGGGAAUCUGCCUUUGAGCGGGGGACAACAUUUGGAAACGAAUGCUAAUACCGCAUAAAAACUUUAAACACAAGUUUUAAGUUUGAAAGAUGCAAUUGCAUCACUCAAAGAUGAUCCCGCGUUGUAUUAGCUAGUUGGUGAGGUAAAGGCUCACCAAGGCGAUGAUACAUAGCCGACCUGAGAGGGUGAUCGGCCACAUUGGGACUGAGACACGGCCCAAACUCCUACGGGAGGCAGCAGUAGGGAAUCUUCGGCAAUGGACGAAAGUCUGACCGAGCAACGCCGCGUGAGUGAAGAAGGGUUUCGGAUCGUAAAACUCUGUUGGUAGAGAAGAACGUUGGUGAGAGCGGAAGGCUCAUCAAGUGACGGUAACUACCCAGAAAGGGACGGCUAACUACGUG